rnacentral:rRNA from 1 species
AGUGAACGCUGGCGGCGUGCUUAACACAUGCAAGUCGAACGAGAACGGAAUAUAGCUUGCUAUAUUUGUCAGCUAAGUGGCGCACGGGUGAGUAAUGUAUAGAUAACCUGCCCUUAAGAAAGGAAUAACAGUUGGAAACGACUGCUAAUGCCCUAUAUGCCUUUAAUACAUAAGUAUGCAAGGGAAACGCUUUAGUGCUUAAGGAUGGGUCUGUAUGGUAUCAGAUUGUUGGUGAGGUAAUGGCUCACCAAGGCUAUGACGCCGAACUGGUUUGAGAGGAGGAUCAGUCACACUGGAACUAAGACACGGUCCAGAAUCCUACGGGAGGCAGCAGUGGGGAAUAUUGCACAAUGGACGAAAGUCUGAUGCAGCAACGCCGCGUGGAGGAUGACACAUUUCGGUGCGUAAACUCCUUUUAUAUAGGAAGAUAAUGACGGUACUAUAUGAAUAAGCACCGGCUAACUCCGUGCCAGCCGCCGCUGUAA